UUCCCACCCGUUGCAUAUCCAUUCGUGGCAAAUACUAAUAAGCUGUGGUUUUCCAUUUUAAACCACCUUUCUUUGAUAACUGUCGCUUGAACAGGCCACAAUUUCAUCAAGAAGGUUAGGGUCAUGGCUUAUUUUUUGUUGCGGUUUAUCAACCGUAGAGGUAUUUCCUGAUGCCACACUUUGCAAUUGUUGCUUAUGCCACAAAAGCUAGAGAUCUUAUAGAACACGCUGUUUAGGAGAGGGAUCUUCCUCUUCUAUGCAAAUUUUCUCUCUCUGUGUGCGUGAAGGUGAUGAAGGCAAUGAUUUUAUUUUACAAAAAAAUUUGUGUGUGUGAAGGUUACAAGUUAGAGGAGAGAGAAAACGAGGGACAAGCAGUUUAAUGUAGUUGUUGAGUGCAUUAACUGCGUGAAAGUUGUACAAAUAUGAUUUUUCUCUUCCCAAUUAAGCAUAACCUGCAUAAUGAUUAGAGUUUUUUGGUAGAUGAAAAAUCGUAAGAGAGGAAAUUCACUAGCACAAAAUGGUUAAAGGGCCUAUAUAUUGCUAAUAGGGGGGCCUUCUAUUAAAACUAGAGUUUGCCAAGGCGUAUGACAACAUCGUGUGGGAUUUUCUUUACAACACAUUGCGUCUGAUGGGAUUUGGUAAGCGGUGCAUUUCUUGGAUGCAAGCUUGUGUGUCCACAACUACCUUAGCAGUGCUUGUUAAUGGCUCUCCCACUGACUACUUUUCCAUUGAGAAGGAGCUUAGGCAGGGAGACCCAUUAUUUCCUCUCUUGUUCAACAUUAGUGUUAAUGUGUUUUCCUGCAUGCUUAAUCUACUUGAAGAGGAGAUACCUUGCGGUUUUCAUGUGGGGCAAGGGUUUUCCAUCAAUCAUCUACAGUUCGCGGACGACACUCUCAUCUUUUGUGAUGUGAGGAGAAUCAGUUGGAAAGAAUAAAUAUGGCCUUGGAGAUAUUUCUUUGGAUGUCGGGUUUGAAAGUAAACUUCUCUAAAUCGAAGCUGAUUGGGUGUAAUGUGGAAGAGAUAAGGGUUCAGGCCCUAGAUGAUCUCUAUAACCUUAGUGUGGGGAACCUUCCUAUUGAAUAUUUAGGAGCACGGCUAGGAGGAAACCCAAAAAAGGAAGUAGUUUUGGGGGGUUGUGAUUUAGAAAAUGAGGGAAAAAUUGCUAGGCUGGGGAUCCAACUAUUUCUCAUUGAGUGGAAGACUAGUCAUGCUAAAGUGAGUCAUCUCGGCAAUUCCGGUCUAUUAUAUGUCGAUCUUCAAAGCACCGGCGGGUGUGAUCGAGGAAUUUGAAAAACUAAUGCGGAGCUUCCUUUGUGGUAAUAGAUCCGCUCAAUGUCGCAUACCGUAGGUGGCUUGGGAACAAAUUUGUAAGAGCAAAAAACUAGGAGGACUUGGCCUUGGUUUCUUGGGUUGGAGAAACAAAGCCCUUAUUUUAAAAUGGGCAUGUCGCUUUGGGAAAGAACCGAACUCUUUAUGGCGAAAGCUUUUGUGCAAGAAAUACAAGUGGGAUGAAAGAUUCCUUUGUCUUCAUUUAUUGAUUGAUAGAUGUGAAGGCCUAUCCUAUGUGACUCAAGACAUUGUGAACUCGUUGAAAGUAGAUUCAAUCAUAGCAAAAUUGACGCGGGGAAAGCUCUUGUGUAAGGUUGGGCAGGGCUCUCGUGUUCGCUUUUGGCUUGAUCCUUCGCUGGAAACAACUCUUCAAUUGCGCUUCCCACGCAUGUUACACUAGCAGUUAACAAGGCUGAAAUUGUGAAUGAAGCUGGCUUUUUUGCUUCCCGCAAGUGGACAUGGACCAUUGAAUUUAGGAGGUAGUGCUUUGGGUGGGAGCUUGAUGAGGAGGUGCGUUUUAAAGCUUUGAUUCAGUAAAGUCUACCAAUUAAGGGGGAAGAUACUCUCAUGUGGAUAGGGGAUCGAAACUGUUAUUUUACAGUUAAGUGCCUAUUAUCUCAGGUGGAGAAUCAAAUCUUAGGCCCAGAGGCGUGGAUCAUCCCUAAGAAACUUCAACAAGUUGUUCCUCCUAAAGUUUCUAUCUUCUUGUGGCAAGCCUCAGUAAACAAGAUUGGAGUAAAGCCAAAUUACUUGUUAGAGGGGUGAAUAUUGAGAACGAGGGUCAAUGUAGCAUUUGUGGGUUAUUGGUAGAACCCACAGAUCAUCUAGUGUUACAUUGUGUUUUCUCUUGGAGAAUUUGGUCUGCCAUUUUGUCAAGAGAAAGGAACCAGUUGGUGCUGCCCCAAGAAGGUACAUGAUUUAAUCCUUGAUUGGGCUCAAUUACGAGCAGUGUCUGAUUCAAUUCUUUGGGAUCUAAUACCUUACUUUGUCUGCUGGUCCUUAUGGAUAGAAAGAAACAAAGUUGUUUUUCAAAAUGAACAAUUUUCUGCAGAGGUUGUGAGAUUGGCAUAUGACUAGAAUUAUGGGUUGGGUAAAGGCUUGGUGGACUGAUUGUCCCUAUUCCUCUACUGAUUUUGUCUGCAAUUUUACACACCUUCGACUGUUUGUUACAAAAGAUAAAGCUCGUUCCAAGAUAUGGUAUCCACCACCGGAGGGUUUGCUCAAGUUCAAUGUGGAUGGCUCUUUGCUUGGCAACCCAGGGCUGAGUGGCUUUGGUGGCAGUUUGAGGGACUCCAGUAGGCGCCAUAGAGGCCUAUUCUCUCUACCUGUUGGGGAUCUUUGGGCCUUUGAAGCAGAACUUAAAGCAAUUUGUAUACUUUAAAAUUCUGCAAGGAAUUUCAUUUGCAGCAUAUUAUUGUGAAGAGCGAUUCUGCCCUGGCUGUUGGUUGGGUAUCAAACAAAGAAAAUCGCUCCUCGAAGUUACUAAAUGAUCUUAUUCUGAUUGAUAUGCUUAUGGAAGAUGUUGAUUGUGUUGGUGUUUUCCAUGUCUGUAGGGAAUUCAAUGUCUUGGCUGAUUACUUGGCGAAAACUAGUUGCCACAGAAGAAAUAAUAUAUGGGUUGUACUAUGAAUUCUCACCAGACCUGGUAGUGCUGCGUGUUGUGUCUGCUGCUACUAUCCACGAUUCCCUUCUCUUUUUUUUUUCAUUGUUGUCGUUUGUUUUCUCUUUUCAUUGCCGUUACUGUUUUGUCUUUUAAAUCUGUUAUGUGCCUUACAGCAUCUACAAUGCAAGGUUGCUAGUUUGGUUGCUUAAACACUAUUCUGAUGGACCCAGACUGUCACAUAAGAUUUAAGCAACUCAAACAAAAUUCGCUUCAACCACGAUUGUUUAUUUUACUUU